AUUGAACGCUGGCGGCAGGCCUAACACAUGCAAGUCGAGCGAGCGGCGGACGGGUGAGUAAUGUCUGGGAAACUGCCUGAUGGAGGGGGAUAACUACUGGAAACGGUAGCUAAUACCGCAUACCAUCAGAUGUGCCCAGGUGGGAUUAGCUAGUAGGUGGGGUAACGGCUCACCUAGGCGACGAUCCCUAGCCGGUCUGAGAGGAUGACCAGCCACACUGUAACGGAGACACGGUCCAGACUCCUACGGGAGGCAGCAGUGGGGAAUAUUGGACAAUGGGCGAAAGCCUGAUGCAGCCAUGCCGCGUGUGUGAAGAAGGCCUUCGGGUUGUAAAGCACUUUCAGCGGUGAGGCGUUACCCACAGAAGAAGCACCGGCUAACUCCGUGCCAGCAGCCGCGGUAAUUC
rnacentral:rRNA from 1 species